rnacentral:rRNA from 1 species
GUGGGGAAUAUUGGGCAAUGGACGAAAGUCUGACGGAGCAACGCCGCGUGAGUGAUGAAGGUUUUCGGACUGUAAAGCUCUGUUGUUUAGGACGAAAGUGCCUGUUGCAAACAGUUACAGGUAUUGACGGUACUAAACGAGGAAGCCACGGCUAACUACGUGCCAGCAGCCGCGGUAAUACGUAGGUGGCAAGCGUUGUCCGGAAUUAUUGGGCGUAAAGAGCAUGUAGGCGGGAAUCUAAGUCUGUUGUGAAAAUGCGGGGCUCAACCCCGUAUUGCGAUGGAAACUGGGUUUCUUGAGUGCAGGAGAGGAAAGGGGAAUUCCCAGUGUAGCGGUGAAAUGCGUAGAUAUUGGGAGGAACACCAGUGGCGAAGGCGCCUUUCUGGACUGUGUCUGACGCUGAGAUGCGAAAGCCAGGGUAGCGAACGGGAUUAGAAACCCCAGUAGUCC